UCCUGGUUAACCCAGGCAGUCUCAUUAGAGUUCCCACCUUAAAUGUUGGCAACUAAUGAUAAGGGUUGCGCUCGUUGCUGGACUUAACCAAACACCUCACGGCACGAGCUGACGACAGCCAUGCAGCACCUGUGUAAAGACCCCGAAGGGCUGUAAUAUCUCUACUACAUUCCUCUACAUGUCAAAACUGGGUAAGGUUCUUCGCGUUGCAUCGAAUUAAACCACAUGCUCCACUGCUUGUGCGGGUCCCCGUCAAUUCUUUUGAGUUUCAGCCUUGCGACUGUACUCCCCAGGCGGUAUACUUAUCGCGUUCGCUUCGGCACAACCAGGGUUGAGUCCGGUUACACCAAGUAUACAUCGUUUACGGCAAGGACUAC
rnacentral:misc_RNA from 1 species